rnacentral:rRNA from 1 species
CCUACGGGUGGCAGCAGUGAGGAAUAUUGGUCAAUGGACGGAAGUCUGAACCAGCCAUGCCGCGUGCAGGAAGACGGCCCUAUGAGCUGUAAACUGCUUUUGUACAAGGGUAAACCUGCAUACGUGUAUUCCGCUGAAAGUACUGUACGAAUAAGGAUCGGCUAACUCCGUUCCAGCAGCCGCGGUAAUACGGAGGAUCCAAGCGUUAUCCGGAUUUAGUUGGCUUAACGGGUGCGUCGGCGGAUUGAUAAGUUAAGGGUGAAAUGUCCGAGCUUAACUCGGGAACUGCCUCUAAUACUGGUGAACUAGAGAGUAGAUGCGGUAGGCGGAAUGUAAGGUGUAGGAGUGAAAUGCUUAGAGAUCAUACAGAACACCGAGUGCGAAGGCAGCUUACCAAUCUAUAUCUGACGUUGAGGCACGAAAGCGUGGGGAGCAAACAGGAUUAGAUACCCCAGUAGUC